AACGAACGCUGGCGGCGUGCCUAACACAUGCAAGUCGAGCGCGAAAAGGGCAACCUGAGUAGAGCGGCGCACGGGUGCGUAACACGUGGGUAAUCUGCCUUAGAGUCGAGGAUAACCUUCCGAAAGGUUGGCUAAUACUCGGUAAGCUUACGGUGUCUUCGGACGCUGUGGGAAAAGUAGGCCUCUGUUACAAGCUUACGCUCUGAGAUGAGCCCGCGGCCCAUCAGCUAGUUGGCGGUGUAACGGACCACCAAGGCAACGACGGGUAGCUGGUCUGAGAGGACGAUCAGCCUCACUGGAACUGAGACACGGUCCAGACUCCUACGGGAGGCAGCAGUGGGGAAUUUUCCACAGUGGGCGAAAGCCUGAUGGAGCAACGCCGCGUGUGUGAUGAAGGUUUUCGGAUCGUAAAGCACUUUCGACUGGGACGAAAAACCUUUGGCUAACAUCCAGGGGCCUGACGGUACCAGGAGAAGAAGCACCGGCUAACUCUGUGCCAGCCGCCGCGGUAAUAC
rnacentral:rRNA from 1 species